UUUGCCAAAACACUUUCAGGGACACUACACGACUUCUAGCUCCUUCCUUCGCAAACACGUCUGCCACUUCAUUCUGCUCCCUAAUAUCUUGGUUGGUGGAACUGUUUGUGUCUCCUCUAUUAGUGACCUGCACUCAUUAAGCAGAUUAUGAUAGGAAAGGUGAUCAUUAGUGAGCAUUUGAAGUAUGGUACUAGAAUAAGUCUCAAUGCAAAAAUGGUGGAAAUUAUUGGCCUUAGUGAUGGUUAGACCAUGCCUUAGAGCUAAUAAUUCUGGUAUGGUAAGGGUAGUGUGUGGAAGAUGCAUGUAGUAUCCUAACAACCAGUUCCCAUUAUGAUUCCUGAAAACUCUCCCUAUCCCGCCCAUGCCUGGGUUGUCAAGGGCUGAACCAUCGAUGUGCAGUUUAAGCUGGACAUUGGUGGGUGGAUUCCACCUAAUAGCUAUUAUGGUGAUGUUAGCCUUAUGUGUGUGGUUUUGGUUAGCUAACAUGUUGAACUCACUGGCUAGGAAAAUGGCCAAGUUAAUAGAGAUAUGACUGCUCCUAUUAUUGAAAUUAUUGUCAUUUCUAUUGAGCCAAAUGACCCAAAGACAGCGGAGGAGAAGAGUGUCCCAAGUAAUCCAACUGUUGAUGGAUUUACCUUUAAGCUUUUGCCAAGCAGUUUCCCAGUUAGCUACAAGCCUACAACAAUAGUAGACCAGAUUUGGGUUAAUUUAAAAUGGGCCUACUGGAAUAGCUUAUCCCAUAAGUAGGUAGCAUUACGGCAUUGAAAAAAGAUGUGGUCAGCAGUUUCAUCCUGAUCUUGGCAUAAGCGAUAAUGCGGGGGGAUGGAAAGACCGAUGUGUCUCAGGUAGACGUUGGUAGGGAGCCUAUUAUGAAGCAACAGCCAGAGAAAAAUUUUGAUUUUAUUAGCAGUGUUUGCUUUCCACACCAUUCUGAAAUUUCUUUGGUUGUGGUGCAUAUCCCCCUGGUCUCUUAUGAGGUUGUACAUGCUGCCAGUAAUAGAGCAUUGCUGGUGAGGCCCCAAAUAAGCUUGUCCUCUUUAGUGGAGUUUUGAGGUAGAAGGGUGGUGGUUAUAACCUCUUUUAGUUGCUAGGGAAGUUCAAAAGAAAGAGUUCUGAAGUCCCAGCCACCAUUGUUGUGGAGGUUAUGGAUUGUAGUGUUCAUAUCAAUAGGGGUGAGAGGACCACAAAUAAGGCUGCUAAUGUUUCAUAAGUAAGGAAUCCAGUUGUCUAAGAAGAACCUUACCCUAUCCCCCUUGUUGACCCUCCGGUUAAUGCCCUUAGAGCAGUCAGUCCAACCCCUUAAGAUAUUUUUCCAAGUCCUUGAUCCGAGGUCAGAAUAGUUGUUCUGGUAUUUUGUAGCGAGAAUUCUACCCCACAAACUUGUGGGGUGUGUAGAAAGCCUCCAGGAUAGGCUAGCAAGAAGGGCUCUAUUCCUAGUUAUAGACACGUGAUUUUUGACCCUCCCCGAGUGUAAAAUAUAUAUAUAUUUUGAUAUUAAAUAUUUAUAUUAUAAUAUAUUUAAUCAUAUAUUAUUUUGAUUCUUAUUUUUAUUUUUAAUAAAUUUUUAGUUAAAAAAUAAAUAACUAAAUAAAGUUAGUUUCAAGAUAUAUAUAUANNNNNNNNNNNNNNNNNNNNNNNNNNNNNNNNNNNNNNNNNNNNNNNNNNNNNNNNNNNNNNNNNNNNNNNNNNNNNNNNNNNNNNNNNNNNNNNNNNNNNNNNNNNNNNNNNNNNNNNNNNNNNNNNNNNNNNNNNNNNNNNNNNNNNNNNNNNNNNNNNNNNNNNNNNNNNNNNNNNNNNNNNNNNNNNNNNNNNNNNNNNNNNNNNNNNNNNNNNNNNNNNNNNNNNNCACCAUUUUGGGUUUUCCCCCCAAAAAUUCCCCUACAAAAGGGACUCUUCCGACAUAUGUAGAGAGGGAUUUUUUUUUUCUUUCCUACCAGAAACCAGAUUCUGCAUACCUACAAACUACGUAUUUUUCAUCAGAAAGAAAACAGAGACCGAGAGAAAAAUAGACACUAAAAAGAAAAAAAGAUCAGGAAGAGAGAAAACCAAAACAAAGAAAGAAAUGGUUGUAAAUUGAGUUUCAGAUUUUCGUUCGAGUCCUGGUGACAGUAUUCUUGCUUUCAAAUUCAUUUUUAAUUAAUCAGGUUCUUAUCAAAUCUGUACUAUUUACUUUAAAGUGUUGUUGUGAAUCGAAGCAUGAUUAAAAAUUAUUUAAAAGAUUUCAUUGUUAUUUGUUACGUGAAUUUUAUUAUAUACAUGAUGUGAUUUUUAAUUUUAGUUACAUGUUUAAAUAUAUUUUUUUUCUUCUUUCCUUCCGAAUUUAAAAGUUGUAUGUGAAUUUGGUGUAUAUAAAAAUACUAAAUGUGAUUCAACUAUGUUUGAACUAAUUAAAUAUUGUUAAUUAUUCUUUAAUGGAAAGAAUGUUUAUUGUUUCCCUUUUGCUGUCGGACAUCAAGAAAAAAAAAGUAUACAGAAUACUGAAUAUUCGUAUCUACAAUGAAUGAAGUUUCUAAAAAAAAAAAAAAAAGGGUUUACACACACUAACGUUGUUAUUAUUGAAAGAAGAAAGAGAGAAAGCCGGACUAAUCAAUGGUAGAGUUUUUUUUUUUUUUAUAAAAGAAAAAAAUGGGAUCUGGAUGGUUGUUGUGCGUGUGUUUUGAGAAAUUAUCUUUGUAUAGUUUAUUUUACAAAUUGGGAAUCCAUCACUUUGUAUCUUUCAUUAAUUUUAUAUUAUUUUAUUUGUGGUCAUUAAUAAGACUUUAUUAUUUUAUUAUUACAAUAAUUCUUUUUAAACGAAAAUUGUUAUAGAUCAUUAUUAAGGUUAGAUAGAAAUUUUAGUAGGUACGUCCUUAAUAUUAGGUAAUUAGGUAAAUUUUUAGGUUCGUUUAAAAUUUUCAUCUCAAUUAAGAAUGCGACAUACGCAUCUUUUUGAGACAUUUAAAAUUCAAGGAUGCAAUAAUGCACUUUGAUAAAUAUUUUUCUAAAACUAAUUUUCACUAAUUUAAGAUAUAUAGACAAAUAUUUGGUAUAGUAAAAAUGAGCGAAUUUAGGCCUUAACACGAUUCAUCAAAAUAGUUUAAGUCAAUAUAAGUCAAUAAAAGCGACCGUGCUAGAACCACGGGACUCGAGGGGUGCCUCACAUCUUCCUCUCGGUCAACAGAAUUCCUUACCCAGUUUUCUAUUUUUGCAGACCAGCAAAGAGUCAUUUCCUUUUGAUUAAUGAUUCAAUAAGGUGACUUGAAAUACCAUAACUCAAUUCCAACACCAUAAUUGGAAAAAUCCUUCGACCUCGAACCUUCGGGCGAAAAAGGGGUGUGACAUCUCUGGCAACUCUGCUGCGGAAUAAUAAGAAUUUGAGCUUUUGAUAUUGACUUUACCUGCUUUAAUUAUUUUUGAUAUUGUGUUUAUUGGCCUUAUGUGCUACUUGUUGCUCAUUUACUGCUUUGAUAUUAUUUGAACUAUAUUAUAUAUUGUCUUCUCUCGCGUACCCCCUCUGAGUCCCUGAAAUAGGAUAGAGGGAAUGCAGCAUAUGCAUCCCACCUUCUUUUUGAGAUAGCCGGAGUGUCAAGGCACCUGGUGAAGGAUAUAGUUACACAUGCUAGGCGGGGUUCGGAUCGACAAUGAAGGUGGUGUUGCCCUGCUACCGACCAAGUUGUCCCUCCCUGGCUCGAGUGUCCGCUCGGGUAAGCCAUCUAGACACCUAUCCCUAAUAGGUUUAAACUUAGAAGAAUUGAAAACUCAGAAUCUGGUCAUCCCUAUUAGGUGCCGCUUUAUUUACAUCAUAUGCAUUUGAUUUAGCGGGACUCGGCAUAGGGGUUGGGUUUGUCUAGGACAGGUGACCUAUUUUAUAAAGACCAACAUGUGCAUCCAACGUGAUCUUUGACAUUUGUUUGGAAGGCUAUUUGUUUGUUGAGCGGCUUUAGACAACUUUAAAAUGCAAAAGAUUAAUUUAUCCUCACAUUUAGUGAAUCAUUUUUUUUUUUCAAAGAAAAUUUUAUUUUUAAAAGAAAGAAAUUUUUUUAAAUAUAUAGUAACAUAGUUUUACGAUCUUCAUGAACUACAAGGGUCUGAUUCUCACUCUUUAUUGAGAUACGUAGGAAGCCCUUUUCGGGGUACGACCCUAUCUUUUGAAAAAUUAUUCAUAGAUUUAUUGGAGAAUGUUUUGAAAAUAUGAUUAAAAAAUUUUAUUUUUAAAAGAAAGAAAAAAUUUUAGUAACAUAAUUUUAUGAUCUUCAUGAACUGCGAGGGUCUGAUUCUCACUAUUUAGCGGGAUACGUAGGAAGCCCUUUUCGGGGUACGACCCUAUUUUUUGAAAAAUUAUUCAUAGAUUUAUUGGGAAAUAUUUUGAAAAAAUAAGAUUACUUUCAUGAUUAUUUUUCUAAUCCUCAAGUCCAAUUUUUGUAUAUCUUAAUAGCCUUGAAUCUUUAGGGAUCAUGAGGUUAAGUUUUUAUAAAAUAAAUAAAAAUAUAUAAAUCUUAAUAGCCUGAAUCUUUAGGGAUCAUGAGGCUAAAUUUUUAUAAAAUAAAUGAAAAUAUAUAAAUUUUAACAGCCCUGAAUCUUUAGGGAUCAUGAGGCUAAGUUUUUACAAAUAUAUAUAUAUAAAUCUUAAUAGCCCUGAACCUUUAGGGAUCUUGAAGCUGAAUUUUGUACGACAUAUAUUUCAAGAACUACACACACUUUAUUCUCAUUUUAUUGAGAUAUGUAGGCAGUCCGUAAUGGAUUCGGUGAUCUUUUAAAAAAUGAUUGUCUUCCCUUUUAAACUAAAAAAAAAAAGUUGUUUUCAAAAAUGAAAAAAUAUUAUUUAAUAAAUAAAUAAAUUUCUCAUUAUUCAAAAAAAAAAGAAGAAAAAAGAGGUAUAUUUCUUCGUAUCUCCAAUUUUCAAGAACUACGCAUACCUGAUUCUCGUUUUAUUGAGAUAUGUAGGCAGUCCUUAAUGGAUUCGGUGAUAUUUUAAAAAAUUGUUGUCUUUCCUUUUAAACUAAAAAAAAAGUUGUUUUCAAAAAUGAAAACAAAUUAAUAUUAUUUAAUAAAUAAAUAAAUUUCUCAUUAUUCAAAAAAAAAAAAGAGAAAAAAAGGUAUAUUUCUUCGUAUCUCCAAUUUUUGAGAACUACGCACACGUGAUUCUCAUCUUAGUGAUAUAUAUAGGCAAACCUUUUAGGGUUCGGUGAUCUUUUAAAAAAAGAACAUAAAAGAAAAAGAGUUUUUGAAAAAAUAACAUUUUGACGCCUUUGUUAUUUCUUAUACAGUUAGUUUAAGGUGGUUGGUUUGUGGUAUUUUGGCUGGUCCUCCACAUCACACCAAAUCUAAAGAAGGUUUAAUUGUGUCCAACAAGGAUAUAGAAAUUGACUUCAUGGAUCACACAAUGAGUCAUGAAGAUGAGAGUUUAAAGGAAGAGAAUUUGAGACUAAGGCAACAAAUGAUGGAAAUGUAUCGAGCUUGGGCCAGUGAGCAUCCUCCUCCUCCGUUCCCCACUAUUAAAGACGGGGGCAUAUCUUCAAGUGUCAACCUUCUUCAAAACUUUGAGAUAUCGAAAUUUAAGGAACAUGAUGGACAUGAGGAUUUUGUGAAGCAUUUGGGACGAUAAUGCAAUCGAUCAAGGGAAAUUGAAAAAGGAAAGAAGAAAGAAAACACAUUUAUUGUCAUGCCAGGGCCAAAGCAGAGUUUGAGAGGUCCAACCCACCAAUACUGUCAGCCUCAAUCCCGAUCUUACAUAUUAGAUCCACACAACCAGAUGCAACAAGGUUCCUUUCUCCAAAAUCCAAGAAAUCCCAUUCCACUUCCUCAAUAUCCUUUGAAUAAUGCACAGUCGUAUGCUCAUCCAUCUUCCUAUCCACAAUAGCGUGUCCCGGCCCCUCAACGUCGUCCUCGACCCUCAUAAAUUUACCAAGAAACCUCUAAAUUCAAGUUUCAUCCGAGGCCAGAGUUUGCAAUGAGGAGGAAGGCAAAAGAUAAUUUCACGCCAAUUGGGGAUUCCUAUACCAGUUUGUUCCAGACAUUAAGGCAAUGGGGCAUGAUUACUCCCAUCCCUGGAUAUAUUCCCGAUCCACAUUCAAAACAUUUUGAUCCUAAUGUACUAUGUGCUUAUCAUUAUAAUAUGCAAUUUUACAGUACUGAAGAUUGUCGUAUUUUGAAAAGAGAAAUAGAGAAAAUGAUUCAAGAAAAAUUAAUUGUGGUGCAAAACGUUGGCACCUCAACCGUCCCACCGAGUUCUUCGCCAGCACGUAAUACUGCACGAUAUGUGGGAAACACUGAGUCAAGUAUGGGGACCCAGAACUUAUUUGUUGAAGGAAAUGUGUCUGAUCGUGGUGAAAGCUCUAGUCAUGUUGAAAUGCAAAUCAAUGGCUAAGUUGUCAGGCUAAGCAAUUGAGAAGUCACCCCUCUCCCUACUAGGAAGAGAUCCAGUAGUUUGUUUUGUUUUCUUUUUUGUUACUCGAAUUAUUUUAGAGUUGUAGUUUAGGACCUAUCUUGUUUGAUUUUUUUUAUCGUUUUUGUUCAAACCCUUCUAUCUUUCGGUCAACAAAAUGUGUGUCCUUUUUGUUUUUAAUUCUCAAUAUAUAUUAUUUUUUCUUUUCUUUUCUUCAAAGAGCUCUUUAUAUGGUGAUUCUGGUAAUACGAUAAGCAUGUUGAAUUUUCAGUCAGACCUUAAAACGCAAUCUAAUGUUGAAACAUUCGUUCAAGAACCUAGAGUUGAAAAGAAAAUGUAAGAAAAAUAAGUAAAGUGUUGAGAUGUUUUGGAGACCAAGUUACAUCCUCACUUGUAUAUUUUGAGACAAUCACUUUGCGAAUAAAAAAUGACUUGAUCUUCAAUGAGAAGGUUCAACUCAAGCAUUUUUGAAUGAGAUCAACCAGAGAUAUAUAGUUUCUAUUGUCAGAAGAAGCAAAAGGAAGUUAGCUAAAAAAAAAGACAGAGAAGAAGUCAUCUGUUGUGAGGAAAGCACAAUACAAGUAGACCUGUAUGGUUUACAAGUUUAAAAGAAGUGACACACGUGCAUGUGCUUAGUCACGAUCAAUAUUGAAAAAAUGCGCAUGAUCUUCAUGUUCCAUUCCUAGAUUGCAUGUUAUGUACUUGUGUUUUUAAGGAUUGAUAUGACGAAGGUAUUUCAUUCUGCUAUCCAAAUGUUGUGUCAUCCUUAGUUACCUCUUUUGAGUUUUUAUUUUAUUUCUUUUAUAUCCCUCUUUUGGAAUCAAAUUAGAGUCUGAAAAAAAUUCAAAAAAAAAAAAAGAAAAGUGUCAAGAAAAAUAAUAGAGUCAGAAAAGUGUCAAGAAAAAAUAUAUCUCUCUCUCUAAAAAAAAAAAGAAAAAGAGAAAUGUCUAGAAAAAGAAAGAAAGAAAGAAAAUCAAGCAAAAGAACAAGAUUCCUGAACUACAUUUGACCUGAUUCUUGUUAUCACAAGAUACGUAGGCAGCCCUACUCUGGGGUUCGGUCCAACCAAAAGAAAAUUGUAAUUACCCGGAAUGAAUUGAAAUUGAGGCAAAGUUUAUUUUCUUUAAAAGAGUCGAUUCCAAAAGUUGUAUGUUUCUCCCAAUAUUAUGUAAAUUUUUGAGCCUCAUGCCUCCCUUUCUUUCUAACCUUUUUCAAAAGCCAAGUUACAACCGAAGAAAGACCUUCAGAUUGAUCUUUGAGAAUGUCAAGGCUAAACAUGUUAUGGGUGCAUGAUGUUUCGUAUGAUGGGUAUUAAUUUUCAAAAAAAAAUGAAAAAAAAAUGAUGAUGAAAAAUGAAUGAGUAAAAAUGAGAGAGUCUUAUUGGUGAAAACCCUUUUGGGCACCAUAAGACGACAGUGAGCUGAAAAAAAAAUAAAAAUGAGAUAGGCGUUGGCAAAAACCCAUUGAGGUGUCACUAGCCGAAGAAGGAUUGUGAUCUAGAGGAAGCAUAUUCAAGAUUGAUUCCAUUUCAAACUCAAUAAGUGAACAAGAUUUGUAAUGAUUAGUAUGGGUAGAUUAAGUUGAUUAAUUCAAAAUGCAUGUCAUGAUUGCUGGAAUUGGCUACCACACCCAAAUAAGUUUUCUUCUGUCGUUUAAAAAAAUGCCUAUUGCUUUUCCCUUUUCUUUUUAUUUUUUUAUUUUUGAUUUUUGGUAUCUUGGUCAUCAAAUAAAAAUUAUUGUCAUUUUUCUCAUGUCUUUGAGUCAAGUCCGUGUCAUAACAAGUGAGAAAAGAUUUUAAAACGACUACUAGCUUCUUCAAUUGCACAAAGCAAGACAAAAAGCCAACAUAUAAAAGAGACAUGAUUGUGAGUCGAAAUAAGACAUGUAGAAAAUUUUAUAAACAGAUGAGUCUGGGAACUAAUGAAUAUGCUAAGGUUCAAAGGUUUUAUUUUUAGAGCACGGCAAAGCAGAGAUACUGUGUUUGUUUCAAAGUCACUUAUGAUAAUCUGAGUUUGGGUUAACGAUGAUGCAAGUCGGUGACAGAUGCUAAUGGUUGGAAGCAAGGUUAAAUGUAACGAGAGCAAGAGUGAUAGCCACGGAAGCCAAAACCACAAACUUGCCACCAUGUUUUUGAACUUACAAGUUUUCUUUGAUGAAACAGGAAAUAUGUUACCUUCAAUUUAAGGACUUCAGAGCAUAAAUAUCAAGAGCUGCAAUGCCUCAUUUCCACAAAUGUAGGAAACAAUGUUGCUGCACAGGUUUGAUAAUCAAAUUAUGGUAAAAUUCAACCCCUAGGAGACGCACUUCCUAGUCUGAAUAAGUUAGUUUUCAUUUGUUAGGUGAUGUACUUCCUAACUUCAACAUUCACUCCUAGAAGACAAACCUUUUAGUCGAGUCACUCCCCGUGAUUCCUAUAAGACAUAUCUUUUAGUCGAGUCAUCCCCCUUGAUUCCUAUAAGAUGAAACUUUUAGUCAAGUUACUCCUCGUGAUUCCUAUAAGACGUACCUUUUAGUCGAGUCAUCCCCUUGAUUCCUAUAAGACGAACCUUUUAGUUGAGUCACUCCCUUGAUUCCUAUAAGACUUACCUUUUAGUCGAGUCAUCCCUCUUGAUUCCUAUAAGACGUAUCUUUUAGUCGAGUCAUUCUCCUUGAUUCCUAUAAGACUUACCUUUUAGUUGAGUCAUUUUCUAAGUACAAACUGGGGCAAACAUUCUGUUCGUGUUUAUUGAAUUUUACUUUCUGCUCAGGACCUUCCUGAAGAAUGAAAAUUUAUUUUAUGUCCAGGACCCUCCUGAAGAAUGGGAUGUUAUUUUUCUAUUUGACCUUUUAUUUUGAGUUCAGGAACAUAUUUUAAAAAAUCAGAAAAGGGAAGUCUAGGAGUCCGCCUGAAGAAUAGGGUGAAGAAACAAAGAAAGUCUGGGAGCCCACCUAAAAAAUAGGGUGAAGAAAAAGGAAAGUCCAAGAGCCCGCCUGAAUAAUAGGGUUAAGAAACAAAAGAAGUCUAGGAGCCCGCCUAAAGAACAGGGUGAAGAAAAAGGAAAGUCCAGGAGCCCGCCUGAAGAAUAGGGUAAAGAAAUAAAGGAAGUCUAGGAGCCCGCCUAAAGAACAGGGUGAAUAAAAAGGAAAGUCCAGGAGCCCGCUUGAAGAAUAGGGUGAACAAAAAAUGAAGUUUAGGAGCCCGCCUAAAGAACAAGGUGAAGAAAAAUUGAAAGUCUAGGAGCCCGCCUGAAGAACAAAGUGAAGAUAAAGGAAGUCCAGGAGCCCGCCUGAAGAACAGGGUGAAGAAACAAAGGAAGUCUAGGAGCCCGGCUAAACAACAGGGUGAAGAAAAAGGAAAGUUCAGGAGCCCGCUUGAGGAACAGGAUGAAGAAGCAACAAAUCAGGAGCUCGCUUGAAGAACAGGGUGAAGAAGUAACAAGUUAGGAGCCCACCUGAGGAACAGGAUGAAGAAGUAACAAGUUAGGUGCCCACCAAAUGAACAGGGCGAAGGAAAAGUAAACCAAGAGUCGCCUGAAGAAUAGGGUGAAUUUUCAAGUUCAAGUCAACGAAGAUUAGAAUCAAGAUUCUAAAGAUUGUAAUUUUCACUUAUAUUUUUCAUUUUUGCUUUUUUGUUAGUCAUUUGAGUGUAAAAGGCAGAAGUCGUUAACCAGAAACUCGACGGAAUCUCACUCGACUUUAAUUUUUAUCUCACCAUAUUACCUUUGAACAACAAGUGACCUGAUGCCCUCAUAACCCAGGAUAUGUAGGUGGUCCAAAAUCAGGACUCGGUUGCAUUUUCUUUUUCCUUUUAUAUUCUUUUUGAAUAAUUGGAGGAUCAAAAAUCAUAUCUUUGUUUACUUCUUUGUAUGAAAACACUUUGAGAUUUCAAACAAAGAGGGGCAAAAUGUAGACACGUGAUUUUUGACCCUCCCCGAGUGUAAAAUAUAUAUAUAUAUAUAUUUCGAUAUUAAAUUUAAAAAUAUUUUCAUAAAUUUUUAAUAAAUAAAUUAGUAGUUUAAAUACUAUUUUAUUAUAUUUAUAUUUAUCUAUUUACAAAUUGUUAUUAUGUUUAUUAAAAAUAAAUAAAUAAAUUAUUAUUAUAUUAUUAUUAUUAUCUUUCUUUAUUAUUAUUAUUAUUAUUAAUAUAUAUAUAUAUAUAUAUAUAUACUAAUUAAUAAAUAUUUUCAAAUUUCAAAAAAGUAAAUUCUAUCCUAUAUCUGAUAACUACUCCCCCUCAUUUUGGUUUUCCCCCCCAAAAAUCCCUUUACAGAAGGAACUCUUCCUACAUAUGCAGAGAGGGUUUUUGUUUUCCUUUCCUAUCAGAAACCAGAUUCCGCAUACCUACAAACUACGUAUUUUUCAUCAGAAAGAAAACAGACACUGAGAGAAAAAUAGACAGUAAAAAGAAAAAAAGAUCAGGAAGAGAGAAAACCAAAACAGAGAAAGAAACGAUGGUAAAUUGAGUUUCAGAUUUUCGUUCGAGUUCUGGUGACAGUAUUCUUGCUUUCAAAUUCAUUUUUAAUUAAUCAUGUUCUUAUCAAAUCUGUACUAUUUACUUUAAAGUAUUGUUGUGAAUCGAAGCAUGAUUAAAAAUUAUUUAAAAGAUUUCAUUAUUAUUUGUUACGUGAAUUUUUUUAUAUACGUGAUGUGAUUUUUAAUUUUAGUUACAUGUUUAAAUAUAUUUUUUUUCUUCUUUCCUUCCGAAUUUAAAAGUUGUAUGUGAAUUUGGUGUAUAUAAAAAUAUUAAAUGUGAUUCAACUAUGUUUGAACUAAUUAAAUAUUGUUAAUUAUUCUUUAAUGGAAAGAAUGUUUAUUGUUUCCCUUUUGCUGUCGGACAUAAGGAAAAAAAAAAUAUACAGAAUACUGAAUAUUCGUAUCUACAAUGAAUGAAAUUUCUAAAAAAAAAAAAAGUUUACACACACUAACGUUGUUAUUAUUGAAAGAAGAAAGAGAGAAAGCCGGACUAAUCGAUGGUAGAGUUUUUUUUUUUUUUUUAAAGAAAAAAAUGGGAUCUGGAUGGUUGUUGUGCGUGUGUUUGAGAAAUUAUGUUUGUAUAGUUUAUUUUACAAAUUGGGAAUCGAGAAUAGUAUAAUAGGUAUCACUUUGUAUUUUUCAUUAAUUUUAUAUUAUUUUAUUUAUGGUCAUUAAUAAGACAUUAUUAUUUUAUUAUUACAAUAAUUCUUUUUAAACGAAAAUUGUUAUACAUCAUUAUUAAGGUUAGAUAGAAAUUUUAGUAGGUACGUCCUUAAUAUUAGGUAAUUAGGUAAAUUUUUAGGUUCGUCUAAAAUUUUCAUCUCAAUUAAGAAUGCAGCAUACGCAUCUUUUCGAGACAUUAAAAUUCAAGGAUGCAAUAAUGCACUUUGAUAAAUAUUUUUCUAAAACUAAUUUUCACUAAUUUAAGAUAUAUAGACAAAUAUUUGGUAUAAUAAAAAAGAGCGAAUUUAGGCCUUAACACGAUUCAUCAAAAUAGUUUAAGUCAAGAUAAGUCAAUAAAAGUGACCGUGCUAGAACCAUGGGACUCGAGGGGUGCCUCACACCUUCCCCUGGGUCAACAGAAUUCCUUACCCAGUUUUCUAUUUUCGCAGACCAGCAAAAAGUCAUUUCCUUUUGAUUAGGGAUUCAAUAAGGUGACUUGGAACACCAUAACUUAAUUCCAAGUGGCGACUCUGUAAAUAAAAUAAUCCCUAUUCAAUAUCGUCACUUUAAUUGAAAAAACCCUUCGACCUCGAACCUUCGAGCGAAAAAGUGAUGUGACACUAGUCCCACUUUUAUGAAUUCCUAACCCUCCUUUAUCUUUGGGGUUAGUGAGAGUGUCCCAACUAAGAAGGUGGAUUUUUCUUUUCUCAAACACAACUGCCCUAAACAAAGUCUCUCUAUAUUUUAUUAAUGUGCUCAUGACUUUGCUAGGCAGCUUAAUGUAAUGCAUGAUGUGAGUAAGAAUGCUGCUUAAAGUGGAUUUGGCAAGCACAGUUCUACCGGCCAUAGUAAGGAACUUGAUUUUCCACCCAGUAAAUCUUGAUUUCAUGUUAUCCAAUAUAAAUUGAAAAUCACUAUUUUUAGGCUUGCUAUGAAAAAUGGGGUAGCCUAGGUACUUACCAAAAGCUUGGCUAGCCUUGAUGUUGAGGGUCUUGGCACAAAGAUCAGCAUUUUCAAGAGUACAGUUCUUUGAAAAAAUGACUUUGGACUUAGUAUUAUUGAUGAUAUGCCCAGAAAAGAGGCUGAAGAUUUUCAAAAUAUUGACAAUAGUGUGGUAGUAGUGUGGCAGUUGCUGGGGUUAGCUUUUGCAAGUAACGUGAGAUCAUCAGCAAAGAAAAAAGGGAAGAGUCUAGGGACUCUAUUGGUAAUGCUUAUGGGAUCCCAUCUUUUGGCAUUCACUUCAGAUUCAAUACCUCUAGAAAGUCUCUCCAUACAGAGAAUGAAGAGGUAGGGUGACAUGGGAUCCCGCUGUCUGAUGCCCAUAGAGGGAUUAAAGGAUCCAGUCCUACACCCAUUCACAAGAACAACAAUUGAGGAGGUGGUCACACAAUACAUGAUAAGGUUAGUGAGGUUGGAAGGAAAACCAAAGAAUAGGAAGGUGUCCUUUAUGAAUGACCAUUCAAUCUUGUCAAAAGCCUUCUCAAGGUUAAUUUUCAGAAUCAUGUUGGAAUUUUUUUUCCCUCAUUUUGCUUAAAUGAGUGAUGUAAUUCCUAAAUGAUUAUGGCAUGGUCAGAAGCCCUUCUAUUGGCUAAGAAGCUAGCUUGACUGGGCCCAAUAGUGGAAGGGAGGUAAGGCUUGAUCCUGUUAAUAAUGAUUUUGAUAAUAAAAUUAUAGGAGGUGUUAUAUAGGCCUAUGGGCCCGAAGUUUUUUAGACUGACAACAUUGUUGUAUUUGGGGAUGAGGCAAAUCAGAGUUGCAUUAUUAUCAAGAGGCAUUGAAAAGGUGGAGAAGACUUCUUUACAGAAGUUUUUGGUUUUGGUUCUUAUUAGAUCCUAGAAUUUUUGAAAAAAAAAGAGUGGAGGCCAUUUGGGCUAGGAGCUUUGAGGGGUUUAAAGGAUUUGAGAGUCACCAUGAUUUCAGUAUCCUUAAGGGGUAAAUCUAGGGUGGAUCUGUUGUCCUUAGAGAGUGUGUGGAAGUUAUUGAUAGGCAUAAAAUUGGUUGUUAGUGCUACUGAUAUGACUGGUGGUGAAGAGGUCCCUAAAGUGCCUACGGAUGUAAGCUUGGAUGUUAAUUUCACUAGAGAUAAGGUUGCCAACAUCAUCUCUGAGCUCAGUGAUUCAAUUCCUCCUUCUCCUAUUGAUGGUAGAGGUAUGGAAGAAGGAAGUGUUAGCAUCCCCCUCAGUAAGCCAGGAUAUCCUAGACUUGGCUUUCGAGAAAUUCUUUUCACAUUUGAGCAUGCUAUCAUAGUCACCAAGGAGUUCAUUCUCUAGGUUUUAGAGGAAAGAACUAGUAUGGUAAUAAGGGAAUUUUCGGAUGCCAUCUAGUCUAGCCAAUAUAGUCCUAAGCCUGUGGAAAAUAUUGUGAAAGACAGUGUUGUUCCAGUGGGUAACAGUAGUAUGAAAUUGGGAAAUAGAAUUAUGAAGAGAGUUGGGGCCUAGGAAUCACUUUUCCACUAAUCCAUGGAAGCCACAUAGGCUCAAAUCUAAAGGGUUUAUCUCUAAGUCUUCUAGCUUUAUUAGAGAGGGAAAUGGGGAGGGGCAAUGAUCAGAUUUAGUUAUGAGAGAUGGGUGAUGAGGUAAUUAGUGAAGUGAUUUAUGCAGGAGGUAUUAGAAAUACAUCUAUCAAGCCUCUCCUAGAUAAGGCACCUUCUAUUUCAAUAUCUCUUAUUAGUCCAGGUGUACUUACAACCCCUAUAACAUAGGUCCACCAUGUUGCAAUAAUCUAAGUAUUCCCAGAAAAGGUUGGACCUAUUAUUACUGAUGGGAUCUCCCCCUAAUUUCUUAUUAGCUUCAAGGAUAUCAUUAAAGUCCCUUCCCAUAAGCCAAUCACCAGUAAAGGUAUUAUCUAUAUUUCGAAGUUUAUCCCAAAGCAAGAGUCUAUUAUUGAGUUCAGGGCUAACAUAAAUAUCCAACAAGAUAAAGGUAUUGUGGUUACUACUAACCUUGACAGUUGCGUAGAUGCCUUAAGGUGAUGUAGAAAAGUUCUGGAGAUGAAGCAGGUCCUUCUUCCAUAUGAAAACUAUACCUCCUCUUCUUCCUACUGCACUAGACUCUAAAUAAGUCUCAAAAUAAAGGAAUUCAGUGAUAUGUCUGUGGUCAACCAUCUUGGUUUCUAGUAAGGCUACCAAGACUGGAUUGUGUGACUUGAUAAGAGCAUCAGAAUGGUGCCUAAAUGAAGAACUGUUGGCUCCUCUAGUGUUCCAAAUGAUGAAGUUCAUAGAGUCAGAGGGGGUGGGUAGAGAGUGGAUAAUUGAUUGUCUCCCCUUGUCCUUUUGAGGGGUCCUCCUCAGAUCUAGUUGAGGGAUCAGAGCUAUUACUGGGGUGACCUGUUCCGUAGCAUUCCUCAGUGUCAAGCUUAGUACUUUCGUCGCCAAGAAAUAAAGUGCAAUAAUAACUGAGCUUGAGGGCUCAUUGAAUUCUUUCUGAAGCGGUUGUCGAGGGUGAAGCUUUCGACAUCUGGCUCCCCAAUUUCCACUAGGAGUUGUUCUAUCUCCAUAUUGGACUGUCUUAGCUCCUCCAGCACUGAUUUAGGUUCUCCUUUUGAGAUUGCGCCCUCUUAGGGCAUUUGGGAGCUUGGCAUUACAUUGGGUUGCUCUAGGGGAUUCCAUGGAAUGAAGUUCAAAGUCCUCAUCUCUGAGAGGUAGGGUUAUGGGGUAGAGCAAGAGGCUUUUGAACAUAUGACUCAUAAGUAAGUUGAGUUCGCUCGAGUUCAUCAUGUUCAGAGUCCCCAGCCUCUGGGCUUGUAGCAAUGUCUGGCACCAGACCUGAUAGCCAAGCCCCGCUACUAUUUGGUCCACUUCCUCUUUCAUAAUUUGUGACAUCCAAGACGGGUCUUGGAUUACUAGGACUAUUGGUUGGUCCUUUAUGAUUAUGUAGUGAGAUAUGAUUUUUUCCUCCAAUGCUAGCUCUGCCUAUAACAUUGGUAGUCGGUUUGCUGGUGGUGAGGUAGUCGUGAGGCUAGGAGGUUCCUUCAGGAAUGUAGUGGUGUUUGGAAAAGGGUUUUCCAUUUAAGAACUGUUGGAAGAUAGCACUUCCUUGAUUGCAAUUUUGAGGCUUUAAAAGGUCGGAGGAGUUAGUGGGAGAUUUAAUUGACAUGACUGUUUUGGUCAUGUCAAUUGUCCUAGGGUGAUGAUGAUCCCUAGUGGCAAUGGAUUACUCCUCCCAGAAUAUGUAGAGACGGAGGAGAGCAUAGGGACUUCCCCAAAGAGGGUGGAUAAUGAGGGGUUUUUCUAGAUAAGGGAAGCGUGGUUGUUAGGAGUUAAUUCCCUUCCUGGGCCAGAACGAGGGUUGACUUUGUGAGGGUCUGGCUUCUCUGUGUCUUGCAAAGGAGGUGGUCCCGGGUGAUCCACAAUAGACUUUCUUUUCCCUUUUUAUUAAAAUUGUUAGUAAUAUUAUUUUUUAUUUUUAUUUAUUCCUGUUUCAAUGGGGGUUGACAGAGUGUUAGAUGGUCCUUGCUGCGAAUUUCAUUGUCGAGAUUGUUAGCAAUAGGCAUGAAUGAAUUGGGGUUCAAGAACUUACCUGCCAUGGCAUCGUAAACCUUUAGCUACGUUUGGUCGCCCCUUAUUUAUCCUCUAGCGUAUUUGGAGGAUUGAUGAGUCUUGGUAGCGGCUCUUUUUUUAAGAAUUUGACUGUUUGCCAUUCCUCAGUUGGAUUUGAAGAUUUGCUGCUUGAGGGCUUGGUCGUGUCAUGGUCCUUGAUGAGUGGUGAGUUUACCACUAAAUCACACUCAUUAUUCAUACACAUUACCUUGUUAUGGAUGAUUAAAUGAGGCAUAAUUGCGAUUAAAUGCACUAACAUCCACUUCUUGCAGGCAUAGUGUUAAAAGGUUGGAAGGAUGUGGAUUGGAGCUCAAAAUGAUCAAAGAGGGAGCAAGAAAGUACAACUGAAGACCUGAAAUAGAAGGGCCUCAGGUACCGCGAUCGCGAUCGUAGCCAGACCUGCACGAUCGCGGCCUAGCGGAGGAUUUCAACCCAAAGGCAAAGCUGUAAUUACACGUGUUGAUCCCAAUUUAACAAAAAUGACUCAAACUCUAUCAUUCAAUCUAUGACAUUCCUUCUUCCCAAAUUUUCUAGUUUUUAUCUUAGAUUUUAUAGCCUCCAUUUUUUAAGAAGAAAAUAUUGUAUAAAUUUUGGGUGAAGAAUACAUUGGAGGCUUUCUAAGUGGAAGAUUUGCUCACUUCCAUUGUUGAUAUUGUGGGAGGGCCAAGUUUGAAGUAACAUUCGCUUAGAUCUUCAACAAUUCAUUUCAAUGGAGAUUAUGGGUAUAUCUAUGUUUAUAUAUCUUAUGUGUGGAUAAAUCUUCCUCCUGGGGUUAUGUGUGAAUAUGGGUUAAAGUGUGUGGGGGUUGUUAUUGCUAGCAUCUAUUUAGUAGUUCAUGUUUAUGGGUUCUAUCAUACCCAAUUUUUACCUAAGGUCAAAACGAGCACGACAUUAUGGACUAAAAAGAAUUGAUUUUAUAUAGAUCUGCCACCCAAUUUUUAAGGAAAAUGAGGAAACCUAUUUUAAUUAUUAACAACUAUAACUUUAUUUAAUCUACGAAACCAUUUUAGAUUCCUAGGUAAGGGUUCAAAUGAUUUCGAAGGGAAGGAAUUAGACACCCUUCAGAAUUCACAAAUGUAGUUCCCGGCCAGACGUAGAUUUUUUACAAGACGAAGAAAAAAAUCAAUGUUUAUAAAUACAAAUCUAAAAUAUGCAUCAAAAUAAUAUAAACAAUUUGCAUAUAAAGAAUGUAUAAAUUACAUAAAUUAUUGUAUAUAAAAAAUGUGUGAAGAUGAUCGAAAGUAUAUAAGAAUGUGUAUGAAAGAAAAAGAAAAAUUGAAUACAGAAAAAUUUAUUUGUAAGAAAAAGAUUACACAAUAUCUUUUAAUGUCUAAGUAUGAAUUAAUUGAUUAAAUAUCUAAAUCAAUUUUAAUACAAAUAUUAACGGCCUAAAAUUUCCUAACGCGUGGUGAGGAUUGCAUAAAUAAAGAAUAUCCCGCCCAACACCCCAAAAAUAAAGAUUUCACUAUAAUUAAUAUUUGUACAAGUAUAAAAGAAUAAAAAUACAAACAUUAAAAUUAAAGCCUUCUUUGAAUGUCAUUCCCGAUGAGUAUCCCAAUAACAUGUAUAAACACUUGUAAAUAAAAUGUUAGUAACAAAUAAAUAAUUAUCAAAAUAAAUUUAAAAAAUAUGUGUGCAUAUAUAUAUAAAAAAAAUAUAAUUUUUUGUUAAAAGAGUGGGCUCAGAUAAAGUUUUAAAAAAAUAUAAAGAUUUCAUCAUUGCCUUAAUUUUAUUUAUUUAUUACGUAUUUGUAUACGUAAUAUCCGUCUUUUUAUUUGUGAAGUCCUCGAAAACAGUGGAAUCGUUGUUUUUAAUGUUUUCUGGCAAUAACUUUGCUGGAAAUUAUUCAGCUUUCACCGGAACUUACCUGUCUAAAAAUUCUUUUCCCGACUAAUUUUCUUCCAUAUUCUAACUGUGUAUGGGUGUGUUCUGUGAUUUGUGAGUACACAGUCAGUGUGCAGUGUGUGUAGAAGAUGAGUACAUGCUUAUGUCAUGACUGAAAAUUAAAGGACAGUGAUCUGAUAUAUAAACAUGGGUACGGAUAAUUUUUAUUUUUUUAUUUUUUGUGACAGUAUGUGUAAAAUAUGUUUUGAAGUAAAUGUGAAAAUUCUAUGCGUGGAUUGCAUGUUUUUCUUUGUUUUUUCACUAGUUUUACAGUUCCUCCUUUCUAAUGCAUCUUAUAAUGUAAGAGAGAAAUUUUUGAAAGAAUGUUUAUAUAUUUUCAAUUACUAUUUUCGAAAGUAAAAUUAUAUCAUCAUACAUUUUUGCUACAAGGUAUCAUGCAUAAAAUCAUACCAUUAUGUAUAUUUAUACACAAAUAGCAUCUUGAAUACUUUAUUCAUACUUUGAUUCCUAAUAAAAUUUAUACAAUAAAUAACGUAGAAUUUAAAAGAAACUUGAGUGAUGAAUUAAGCAGAAAACUCGAAUAUUAUCGUUGGAAACUCGAACGAAACUCCAAUUCAACUUCACUUUUCUUACUUUUUUUUUAUUUUUGCUUUUUUCAGUGUCUAAUCUUGCUCUGGUAUUUUCUGUAUCUGAUAGUGAUGAUAGUGUCCGUCCUUUUUGGGGUAGGUGAGUGUCCUUAAAUACAUGGAUUUGGGGGGAACAAUAUCUUUUUCUGGGGGAGUAGUUUAUCAACAGAUAAGGGAAGAGGAUAUUUUAAAUUUUGAAAUAUAAUAAUAAGUAAUUUUUUAUUUUCUUUCUUUUUAAAUAGAAUACAUAAUAAUAAAAUAAUAAAAUAAUAAUAAUAAUAAAUAUAAUAAUAACUAAUUAAAUUAUGUUUAAUAAAAAUACAAUAAAAUUUAUAAAUAGUCAAAAUAAAUAAAAUAAUAUUAAAACUACUAAUUUGUUUAUUAAAAUGUUAGAAAAGAAAAUAUUUUUAAUUUUUUUAUAUUAUUUUUUAAAUUAGAAUAAAAAUAUAAACAAAAUAUAUCAAAAUUAACUUUAUUUAAUUAUUUACUUUUUAACUUAAAACUUAAACUGAAAUAAGAAUUCAAAUAAUAUCGGACCAAAUAUAAAUAUUUAAUAUUGAAAAAUAUAUAUAUUAAACUCGGGGAGGUUCAAAAUCACGUGUCUACAUUUUGCCCUCUUUGUUUGAAAUCUCGAAGAGUUUUCAUACAAAGACGUAGAAAAAGAGAUGAUUUUUGACCCUCCGAUUAUUCUAAAAGUGAAGAUAAAACACAAUAAAAUAAACUAAAAGACGUGAUCGAGUCCUGGUUUUAGAUCGCCUACAUAUCCCAGGUUAUAAGGGAAUCAGGUCACUUGUAGUUCGAUAAAAAAAAUAAGAGAAAGAGAUAGAAUUCGAGUGAGAUUCCGUCGAGUUUUCGAUUAACGAUUUCUGCCUUUUACAUUAAAUGACUAACAACAAUAAAAAAAUGAAAAAUACAAGUGAAAAUUGCAAUCAAUAGAAUCUUAAUUCUAAUCUUCGUGACUUGAAUUUGAAAAUCCACCCUAUUCUUCAAGCGGACUCCUGGGUUGCUUUUCCUUCGCCCUGUUCUUCAGGCGGGCUCCAAGACUUCAUUUUUUCUUCAUCCUGUUCUUCAGGCGGGCUCCCGAACUUACAAUUUCUUCACCCUGUUCUUCAGGCGGGUUCCUGGACUUACAAUUUCUUUACCCUGUUCUUCAGGUGGGCUCCUGGACUUUCUCUUUUCUUCACCCUUUUCUUAAGGCAGGCUCACGGACUUACAAUUUCUUCACCCUGUUCUUCAGGUGGGCUCCUGGACUUACAACUUUUUUACCUUAUUCUUCAUGCGAGCUCCUAGACUUACAAUUUCUUCACCCUGUUCUUCAGGCGGGCUCCUGGAAUUACUCUUUCUUCACCCUGUUCUUCAGGCGGGCUCUUGGAAUUACAAUUUCUUCACCCUGUUCUUCAGGCGGGCUCUUGGAAUUACAAUUUCUUCACCCUGUUCUUCAGGCGGGCUCCUGAACUUGAAAUUUCGUUACCUUGGUCUUCAAGCGGGCUCCUGGACUUACAACUUUUUCACCGUGUUCUUCAGGCGGGCUACUAGGCUUACAAUUUCUUCUCCCUGUUCUUCAGGCGGGCUUCUGGACUUACAAUUUCUUUACCCUGUUCUUCAGGCGGGCUCCUGGACUUGCAUUUCUUCACCCUGUUCUUCAGGUGGGCUCCUGUAAUUACUUUUUCUUCACCCUGUUCUUCAGGUGGGCUCCUGGAAUUAUAAUUUCUUCACCCUGUUCUUCAGGCGGACUCCUGGACUUGUAAUUUCUUCACCCUGUUCUUCAGGCGGACUCCUGGACUUGUAAUUUCUUCACCCUGUUCUUCAGGCAGGCUCCUGGACUUGCAAUUUCUUUACCCUGUUCCUCAGGCGGGCUCCUGGAAUUACUUUUUCUUUACCUUUUUCUUCAGGCGAGCUUCUGAACUUAUAACUUUUUCACCCUGUUCUUUAGGCGGGCUCCUAGACUUAUAAUUUUUUCACCCUAUUCUUCAGGCGGGUUCCUGAACUUCCUUUUUCUUCUCCCUGUUCUUCAGGCGGGCUCCUAGACAAAAAGUAAAUUCCCAUGCAACACACAUAAAACUUUCCUUACUUGCCUCAGUUUGUUCCAGGAAAUUUUGUACAUAUCACUCGAUCAUAAUCGAGAUCUAGCAUCGGGUGUUAUAACCAUGCUCCUUGCAUUGACAGAAGUGUAAUAUUGCAUCUUUUAUUUGAAAAUUUUAAUGUGAAAUCAAUAUCUCAUCCCUGUUUCAAACAAAAAAAAAUUGUGAGUUUUAAAACAUGUGAUGGUUAGUUUGUGGCAUUUGGUUUUUGAAGUGACCGCUCUUGUACUUGCCAUACAGAACUCCUUUUCAAAUCCUUGAUAAAUAUUUGUUGACUUGUCCUACUUCUGACCUCAAAUUCUGACUACUGAGAUUCUCAAUUCAAAACAUAUUUCUCUUGUAUGAAGUCUCUGGGUUUAACUUGCAAUGCACCUUUUAUUUUUCUACGAGUCAAAAAUUGUCAGGUCACAAUCAUUCAGAGUACUUUAUUAUCCUUUGAAAUAUUAUCCUUGUGCGUCGACCCUUUUGUCUUGCUUUGUAUCAUUAAAGAAUUUGGUAGCAAGUUUGGAGUCCUUUCUCACUUAACCUGACGUGAAUUUGACUAAAAAAAUCCACAAAAUAUAACAAAAAAUUCAUUUGAUGACAAGGACACAAGAAAUCAAAAAUCAAAAUAAGACAAAAAAAGAAAAAGAAAAAGACAAUAGGCAUCUCUUUUUCAAAACAAUAGGAAAACUUAUCUAGAUGUGGAAACUGAUUCUAGUGAUUAUGACAUGCAUUUUGAAUCAAACAACCAGAUCUACCCACACUAAUUAUUACAACUUUUUUCCACUUAUUGAACUUUAAAUUAAGUCAAUCUUGAACUUGUUCCUUCUGGAUAACAAACCUCCUUCGGCUAGUGGUACCUCAAUGGGUUUUUGCCAACGAGUCUAUCUUAUUUUCAUUUCUUUCUCAGCUCACAGUUGUCAUAUGGUGCCCAAAAGGGUUUUCACCAAUAAGACUCUCUCAUUUUCAUUCACUUUUUCUUUUAAGCAAACACCCAAAAUAUAAAUAUCAUGCACCCAUAGCAUGUUUAGCCUUGAUAUUCUCAAAGAUUGAUCUGUAGGUCUUUCUUUGGUUGUAACUUGGCUUUUAGACUGGGUUAGAAAGAAAGGUCGACGUGAAGCUCAAAAUUUAUACAACAUUGGGUAGAACAUACAACUUUUAGAAUCGACUCUUUUUAAGAAAAUAAAAUUUUGCCCUAGUUUUAUUUUAUUCUGGGUAAUUUAAAUUUUCUUUUGGUUGGACCGAACCCUAGAAUAGGGCUGCCUACGUAUCUUGUCAUAGCAAGAAUCAGGUCAAACGUAGCUCAGGAAUCUUGUUCUUUUGCUUGAUUUUCUUUUUUUUUUUUUCUUUUUCUUGACGUUUCUUUUUUUCUUUUAUGUUUCUUUUUCUUUUUUGAGAGAGAGAGAGAGAGAUUUUUCCCAACUUCAUUUUUUCUUGAUACUUUUCUGAAUCUAUUCUUUUCCUAGGCACUUUUCUUUUUCUUUUUUUUGAUUCUUUUUCAGACUCUAUUUUGAUUCCAAAAGAGGUGUACGAAAGAAAAUAACACUAAAGCUCAAAAGGAAUAACAAAGGAUGACACAACAUUUGGGUAGCAGAAUGAAAUGCAUUCUUCAUAUCAAUCCUUAAAAACGGAAGAACAUAACAUGCAAUCUGAGGGUGAAGCAUGAGAUCAUACAUAUCUUUUCAACAUUGACCUUCACUAAGAAUGUGUACAGGUGUCACUUCUGUCAUGCUUAUGAAACAUACAAGUCCACUUGUGUUGUACUUUCUCCACACGAAUGACUCAUGUCUCUUUGGGAGCUAACUUUCUUUCAUUUUUCCUGACUGUGGAGAUUAUAUAUCCUCUGAUUUAUCCCAUGCUUGAAUUAAAUGUUCUAAUUGAUGAUCAAGUCAUUUUUUAUUUACAAAGCGAUUGCUCCAAUUUCAUCUAUAUUAUGAUUUGACUUAUUCUCAAACUGUUUGAAAUGUUUUGCUUAUAUUCUCUAAUAUUUCCUCUUCAUCAUAUUCAACCUCUUUAUUCAUUAUUUCAUAAUUAGACUGGGUUUUAAAAUCUGAUUGAUAAUUCUUCAUACAUGUCAUAUCAUUAGAAUCGGCAUAGAAAGAGCUGUAUAAUAGAAAAUAUAUAAGUAAAUAUUAGACACAAAAUAAAAUAAAGGGAAAUUAUGUUUCAUUAAAAAAAAAUAAAGAUAGACAAUGUUUUAACCUAAAAUACCAAGGUAAAAUCUGAAUUACAACCCUAGAACGAUUCAAAUUGCAGAAAGACAAACAAACAAACUACCAAGACUCCUUCAUAGUAGGGAGAGGAGUGACCUCCCAAUUGUUAAGCUUGACAUCUUAGCCACUGGUUUGCUUAUCAGCAUGACUAGAACUUUCACCACUGUCCAACAUAUUUUCUUCAACAAAUAAAUUUUGGAUCCCCAUGCUUAACUCAUUGUUUCCCACGUAUUGUGCAUUACCAUCUGUUGAUGAAGGAUUCCGUGUGACGCUCACGUAUUGUGCAUUACCAUCUGUUGAUGAAGGAUUCCGUGUGACGCUCGUAGUGUCAAUGUUUUGCACUACAAUCAAUUUUUCUUGAAUCAUCCUUUCUAUUUCUCUUUUCAAAGCACGACAAUCCUCAAUAUUGUGAUCCUGAAUAUCAGAAUGAUAUGCACAUCGUACAUGAGGAUCAAAAUUUCUUGAAUGUGGAUCAGGAGUACACUCAAGGAGAGGAGUGAUUAUGUCCAACUUUCUCUAUCUCUGGAAUAAACUGGCAUACGAAUCCUCAAUUGGUGUAAAAUUAUUCUUUGACUUUCUCCUCUUUGCAAACUCUGGACUCGAUUGAAACUUGGACUUAGAAGUUCGUUGAUAAAUAUAUGGGGGUCCAGGACGAUGUUGAGUAACCAGUGCAUGCCAUUGCGGAUAAGAAAAUGAAUGAGCAUACAACUGUGCAUUGUUCAAAGGAUAUUGAGGAAGUGGAACGAAAUAUCUUGGAUUGUACAAAGAGGAACCUUGUUGCAUGUGAGCAUAUGAAUUUGAUGUACAAAAUCGGGAUUGAAACUGACAAUAUUGCUGAGUUGGACCUCUUGAGCUCUGUUUUGCCCCUGUAACGACAAUAGGUACAUUUUCCUUUUUCUUCCUUUCUGUCCCUCUCAAUUGAGGGAAAUAUCAUCCUAAGUAUUUUACAGAAUCCUCGUACCCAUCAUGUUUCUCAAAUUUCAAUAUCUCAAGGCUUGGAGGAAGUUUAACACUUGAAGAUAUGUCCCCGUCUUUAUAUGCAACAUCUUCAUAAUUUGCAAUUCCCUAAGAAUUUUUCAUAGCCUUUUCUGUGCUCUUUAUUUUUCUAGCCAUCUUCUCUUGCUCUUUUGUCAUGUCAGACUUCUUAGUAAGAAAUUUUGGUGGUCCAACUAACAUAGAUGUGGGCCCAGGAGUAUAAUAGUGAUCAUUAAGAGUGUUGAAUAUUGACUUACUAGCAGAUUGAGGAGGCACAAUCGCCGGAUCAAAAGCUAAGGUGGAAACCUUAGUAGAGGGUGGAGUAACAGAAGCAGAGACUAUAGGUGGUGCUAUCGAUGUGCUAGAUUUAUACUGAAGAUCUAGAGAAUGAGUGAUUGAAACAUUGAUAUUUUUUUGGCUUGGAAUAAAUUCUGGGCAUGUUGUGGCGCAUAACCAACAGUAGAAAAUUGACUUUGCAAUUUUGGUGAAAAACUCAAGGUAUUUGUAGGGUCAAUGGUGGAAAAUGGCGGAGGAGGCAUCCCAAUGGACCAUGCUCGAUACAUUUCCAACAUUUGUUGCCUCAAACUCACAAUCUCUUCUUUUAACCUCUCAUUUUCCUGACUCUUUGUCUGAUCCAUGAUUUCACUUUCUAUAUUCUUGCUGGACAUGACUCUUUUUCUUGAAUUUGGUGUAAUAUGAGGGACCAGCCAAAAUACCACAAAUCAGCUACCUUAAAUUAAUUGUUUAAGAAAUAACAAAGGAGUCAGAAUACAAUAUUUUUUCAAAAACUCUUUUUCUUUUAUCUUCUUUUUGAAAAGAUCACCGAACCCCAGAAGGGAUGCCUACGUAUCUCACUAAGAUGAGAAUCAGGUGUGCAUAGUUCUCGAAAUGUAUGUUGUACGAAACUAAGCCUCAAGACCCCUAAAGGUUCGCAACUGCUAAGAUUUAUAUAUUUUUUAUUUUGUAAAAACUUAGUCUCAUGAUCCCUAAAGAUUCAGGGCUGUUAAGAUUUAUAUAUUUUUAUUUAUUUUGUAAAAACUUAGCCUUAUGAUCCCUAAAGAUUCAGGGCUAUUAAUAUACAUAUAUAAAAAUUGGACCUGAGAAUUAGAAUAAAAAUUAUGAAAGUAAUCAUAUUUUCAAAAUAUUCCCCAAUAAAUCUAUGAAUAAUUUUUCAAAAGAUAGGGUCGUAUCCUGAGAAGGACUUCCUACAUAUCCCACUAAAGAGUGAGAAUCAGACCCUCGUAGUUCAUNNNNNNNNNNNNNNNNNNNNNNNNNNNNNNNNNNNNNNUUUUUUUUUUAAAUGAUUCACUAAAUGUGAGGAUAAUUUAAUCUCUUGUAUUUUAAAGUUGCCUAAAGUCGGUCAACAAAUAAAUAGCCUUCCAAAUAAAUGUCAAAGAGCACGUAGGAUGCACAUGUUGGUCUUUAUGAGGUAGGUCACCUGUCCUAGAUAGACCCGGCCCCUGUGUCGAGUCCCGCAAAGUCAAAUGCAUAUGAUACAAAUAAAGUGGCACCUAAUAGGGAUAACCAGAAGGGAUGAACCCCAGAAGGGAUGCCUACGUAUCUCACUAAGAUGAGAAUCAGGUGUGCAUAGUUCUCGAAAUGUAUGUUGUACGAAACUAAGCCUCAAGACCCCUAAAGGUUCGCAACUGCUAAGAUUUAUAUAUUUUUUAUUUUGUAAAAACUUAGUCUCAUGAUCCCUAAAGAUUCAGGGCUGUUAAGAUUUAUAUAUUUUUAUUUAUUUUGUAAAAACUUAGCCUUAUGAUCCCUAAAGAUUCAGGGCUAUUAAUAUACAUAUAUAAAAAUUGGACCUGAGAAUUAGAAUAAAAAUUAUGAAAGUAAUCAUAUUUUCAAAAUAUUCCCCAAUAAAUCUAUGAAUAAUUUUUCAAAAGAUAGGGUCGUAUCCUGAGAAGGACUUCCUACAUAUCCCACUAAAGAGUGAGAAUCAGACCCUCGUAGUUCAUAAAGAUCGUAAAACUAUGUAACUAAAAAUUUUUCUUUCUUUUAAUUUUUUUUUUUAAAUGAUUCACUAAAUGUGAGGAUAAUUUAAUCUCUUGUAUUUUAAAGUUGCCUAAAGUCGGUCAACAAAUAAAUAGCCUUCCAAAUAAAUGUCAAAGAGCACGUAGGAUGCACAUGUUGGUCUUUAUGAGGUAGGUCACCUGUCCUAGAUAGACCCGGCCCCUGUGUCGAGUCCCGCAAAGUCAAAUGCAUAUGAUACAAAUAAAGUGGCACCUAAUAGGGAUAACCAGAUUCUGAGUUUUCAGUUCUUCUAAAUUUAAGCCUAAUAGGGAUAGGUGUCUAGACUGGCUUACCCGAGCGGACACUCGAGCUAGGGAGGGACAACUUGAUCGAUAGCAGGGCAACACCGCCUUAGUUGCCAAUCUGAACCCCGCCUAACAUGUGUAACUAUAAUCCUUCACCGGGUGUCUUGACACUACGGCUAUCUCAAAAAGAAAGUAGGAUGCAUGCGCUGCAUUCCUUCUAUCCUAUUUCAAAAACUCAGAGGGGGUAUACAAGAGAAAACAGUAUAUAAUACAGUUCAAUCAAUAUCAAAGCGGUAAAUAAGCGACUAGUAGCACAUAAGGUCAACAAACACAAUACAACAAUAAUUAAAGCAAGUAUAAGUCAAUAUAAAAAACUCGAAUUCUUAUUAUUCCCCAGCAGAGUCGCCAGAGAUGUCACAACCUUUUUCGCUCGAAAGGAUAGAGUCGAAGGGUUUUUCUAAUUAAAGUGACGAUAUUGAAUAGGGAUUAGUUUAUUAAUAGAGUCGUCACUUGAAAUUGAGUUAUGGUGUUUCAAGUCACCUUAUUGAAUCUCUAGUCAAAAGGAAAUGACUCAUCAUUAUGGUCUGCGAAAACAAAAUAUCGGGUAAGGAAUUCUGUUGACCGAGGGGAAGGUGUGAGGCACCCCUCGAGUCCUGUGGUUCUAGUACGGUCGCUUUUAUUGACUUAUCUUAUCUAAAACUAUUUUAAUAAAUUAUGUUAAGGUUUAAAAUCGUUCAUAUUAUUAUACUAAAAUUAUUUAAAGCUCUUAUUUUUUAAUCGAUAAAAAAAAUUAAUUUUAGAAAAAUAUUUGUCAAAGUGUAUUUUUAUAUCCUUGAAUUUUAAAAUAUCUCAAAAAGAUAUGUACGCUACAUUCUUAAUUGAGACGAAUAUUUUAAAAGUGUUUAAAAUUUAUUUAAUGUUAAGAAUAUUUAUUUAUUUUUUGUAAAUUCAUAAUAAAUUAUUUGUUUUGAAAAAACUAGUUAACAAUAAUAAUAUUCCUAAAGUAUAUUUAAUUAAGAUAAUUAAUUAAUUUAAGAAAAUUAUUAUCAAGAUUCAUUAUUGAUAAGGAAAUAGUCAAAUAAUUAAUGAAAAUAUACAAACUAUAAAUAAUAAACUAUCAUAUCCAACUUACUUAUUAAAAAAAAAACUAACGAUUCCUUCCACCCAAACACUAUACAGUCAACCACUAAGCAGGAUACUUACAAGAAAUAUUUUUUAUUUAUUUAAACAACAAUAUACAUAUAUUAUCAUUACUUAACACUCUUUUUUUAAAAAAAAAGUAUAGAGAAGAAAAAAAAAACGUUGAUACUGAAACUGAUGUUAACCGAAAAGUUUGGAGAAAAGAAGGAUGGCGCCGAAUUCGGUGAACUAUUUUUCGGUGGGAAAAGGGAAAAUGGGAAGGCACCGGCAUAAUAGUGGUUGCCGGAUUUGGUGUUUUCUGGUGAGAUCUGAGCACGGCUGGCAGUGGUUUUGCCUCUUGGAAUGAAGCAGCGACAGGGAAAGGGAAAGGGGGAGACGCCGGCGGCGCUGGGUUUAGCCGGCUGGUUUCCUGCGUAAUGGUGGUCGCUGGAUCUGAUUCGACGACUGUUUCAAAGGGUUUUUUUCGGGGAAUUACCACCGAAACCGACCAUUGGGUCGGAUUUUGAUGGAUUUUUCAGUGAUGAAGGGUAAUUUUAAUCGCUGUUUUUAACGUUUUCUGGCAAUAACUUUGCUAGAAAAUUAUACAGCUUUCAACGAAACUUACCCGUCUAAAAAUUUCUUUUCCGACUAAUUUUCUUCCAUAUUCUUACUGUGUAUGGGUGUGUUCUGUGAUUUGUGAGUACACAAUGAGUGUGCAGUGUGUGUAGAAGAUGAGUACAUGCUUAUGUCAUGACUGGAAAUUGAAGAACAAUGAUCUGAUAUAUAAACAUGGGUACGAAUAAUUUUUUUUUAUUUUUAUUUUUUGUGACAGUAUGUGUAAAAUAUGUUUUGAAGUAAAUGUGAAAAUUCUAUGCGUGGAUUGCAUAUUUUUCUUUAUUUUUUCACUGAUUUUACAAUUCCUCCUUUCUAAUGCAUCUUAUAAUGUAAGAGAGCAUUUUUUGAAAAAAUGUUUAUAUAUUUUCAUUUACUAUUUUCGGAAGUAAAAUUAUAUCAUCAUACAUUUUUGCUACAAGAUAUCAUGCAUAAAAUCAUACCAUUAUGUAUAUUUAUACACAAAUAGCAUCUUGAAUACUUUAUUUAUACUUUGAUUCCUAAUAAAAUUUAUACAAUAAAUAACAUAGAAUUGAAAUGAAACCUGAGUGAUGAAUUAAGCAGAAGACUCGAAUAUUAUCGCUUGAAACUCGAACGAAAGUCCAAUUCAACUUCACUAUUCUCACUUUUUUUUUUUUACUUUUUUCAAUGUCUGAUCUUUCUCUGGUAUUUUUUGUAUCUGAUAGUAAUGAUAGUAUCCAUCCUUUUUGGGUAGAUGAGUGUCCUUAAAUACAUGAAUUUGGGGGAACAAUUUCUUUUUGUGGGGGGGAGUAGUUUAUCAACAGAUAAGGGGGAGGGGAUAUUUUAAAUUUUGAAAUAUAAUAAUAAUUAAUUUUUCAUUUUCUUUCUUUUUAAAUAUAAGACAAUAAUAAUAAAAUAAUAAAUAUAAUAAAUAUAGUAAUAACUAAUUAAAUUAUGUUUAUGAGAAAUACAAUAAAAUUUAUAAAUAUUCAAAAUAAA
rnacentral:lncRNA from 1 species